GCGGGUAUAGUUUAGUGGUAGAACGUCUGGUUGCCAAUCAGAAGACGGGGUUUCGAUUACCCCUACCCGCACCA
rnacentral:tRNA from 2 species